ACUUGCUGAAUAUCAGUUUUAAAAGAUAAGAGCUGAGUACUUGAUGAAGAAAGGAAGAGCUGUGAGCCAAACCUGUAACUCAGGGCUGGAACCAACACAUUCCACAGCAUCAUGCUGGAAUAUUGGUAGAAGAUUAAUGAAAUAUAAUGGAGCCAAGCAUAGAGUCAGAUCCCUACAAAAGCAG